rnacentral:tmRNA from 1 species
GAAUUGAUUUACGCCCAAUUCGUCUUGGAACUGAUUCUGGUUCGACGGGAUUCGCGAAACCCAAGGUGCAUGCCGAGGGGCGGUUGGCCUCGUAAAAAGCCGCAAAAAAAUAGUCGCAAACGACGGAAACUACGCUUUAGCAGCUUAAUAACCUGCUAAGAGCCCUCUCUCCCUAGCUUCCGCUCUUAAGACGGGGAUAAAGAGAGGUCAAACCCAAAAGAGACCGCGCGGAUGUCCUGCCUGGGGCUGAAGUGCUAAAACUAAUCAGGCUAGUUCGUUAGUGGCGUGUCUGUCCGCAGCUGGCGUGCGAAUGUAAAGACUGACUAAGCAUGUAGUGCCGAGGAUGUAGGAAUUUCGGACGCGGGUUCAACUCCCCCCAGC